rnacentral:rRNA from 1 species
AUUGAACGCUGGCGGCAGGCCUAACACAUGCAAGUCGAGCGGAUGAAGGGAGCUUGCUCCUGGAUUCAGCGGCGGGCGGGUGAGUAAUGCCUAGGAAUCUGCCUGGUAGUGGGGGAUAACGUCCGGAAACGGGCGCUAAUACCGCAUACGUCCUGAGGGAGAAAGUGGGGGAUCUUCGGACCUCACGCUAUCAGAUGAGCCUAGGUCGGAUUAGCUAGUUGGUGGGGUAAAGGCCUACCAAGGCGACGAUCCGUAACUGGUCUGAGAGGAUGAUCAGUCACACUGGAACUGAGACACGGUCCAGACUCCUACGGGAGGCAGCAGUGGGGAAUAUUGGACAACGGGCGAAAGCCUGAUCCAGCCAUGCCGCGUGUGUGAAGAAGGUCUUCGGAUUGUAAAGCACUUUAAGUUGGGAGGAAGGGCAGUAAGUUAAUACCUUGCUGUUUUGACGUUACCAACAGAAUAAGCACCGGCUAACUUCGUG